rnacentral:rRNA from 1 species
UACGAAGGGGGCUAGCGUUGUUCGGAAUCACUGGGCGUAAAGCGCACGUAGGCGGGUUCUUAAGUCAGGGGUGAAAUCCCGAGGCUCAACCUCGGAACUGCCUUUGAUACUGGGAAUCUUGAGUUCGGGAGAGGUGAGUGGAAUUGCGAGUGUAGAGGUGAAGUUCGUAGAUAUUCGCAAGAACACCAGUGGCGAAGGCGGCUCACUGGCCCGAUACUGACGCUGAGGUGCGAAAGCGUGUGGAGCAAACAGG